rnacentral:rRNA from 1 species
AACGAACGCUGGCGGCAUGCCUAACACAUGCAAGUCGAACGGCAGCACCGGAACUGGUUGCGCAUACGGGCGGCGAGCGGGGGAAGGGGCCCGUAUGCACCGGAUAACACUUUGUCGGGGGGGCUAACGCAGGGAAAUUUAUGCUGAUCCAAGAUUCGUCGCCUUGGGGUGGGCACGCGUUGGAUUAGCCAGUUGGGAUGGUAAAAGCCGACCAAGGCGACGAUACAUAGCUGGUCUGAGAGGAUGAUCAGCCACACUGGGACUGAGACACGGCCCAGACUCCUACGGGAGGCAGCAGUGGGGAAUAUUGGACAAUGGGCGAAAGCCUGAUCCAGCAAUGCCGCGUGAGUGAUGAAGGCCUUAGGGUUGUAAAGCUCUUUUACCCGGGAUGAUAAUGACAGUACCGGGAGAAUAAGCGCCGGCUAACUCCGUG